CAGCGAGGAGUGUCGAUCGA
rnacentral:siRNA from 1 species